rnacentral:rRNA from 1 species
GAUGAACGCUGGCGGCGUGCCUAAUACAUGCAAGUCGAGCGAACGGACGAGAAGCUUGCUUCUCUGAUGUUAGCGGCGGACGGGUGAGUAACACGUGGAUAACCCACCUAUAAGACUGGGAUAACUUCGGGAAACCGGAGCUAAUACCGGAUAAUAUUUUGAACCGCAUGGUUCAAAAGUGAAAGACGGUCUUGCUGUCACUUAUAGAUGGAUCCGCGCUGCAUUAGCUAGUUGGUAAGGUAACGGCUUACCAAGGCAACGAUGCAUAGCCGACCUGAGAGGGUGAUCGGCCACACUGGAACUGAGACACGGUCCAGACUCCUACGGGAGGCAGCAGUAGGGAAUCUUCCGCAAUGGGCGAAAGCCUGACGGAGCAACGCCGCGUGAGUGAUGAAGGUCUUCGGAUCGUAAAACUCUGUUAUUAGGGAAGAACAUAUGUGUAAGUAACUGUGCACAUCUUGACGGUACCUAAUCAGAAAGCCACGGCUAACUACGU